AUUCCACGUUUUCCGCGCCGUAGCUAACGCAUUAAGUGCCCCGCCUGGGGAGUACGGCCGCAAGGCUAAAACUCAAAGGAAUUGACGGGGGCCCGCACAAGCGGCGGAGCAUGCGGAUUAAUUCGAUGCAACGCGAAGAACCUUACCAAGGCUUGACAUGAACCGGAAAGACCUGGAAACAGGUGCCCCGCUUGCGGUCGGUUUACAGGUGGUGCAUGGUUGUCGUCAGCUCGUGUCGUGAGAUGUUGGGUUAAGUCCCGCAACGAGCGCAACCCUCGUUCUAUGUUGCCAGCGGUUCGGCCGGGGACUCAUAGGAGACUGCCGGGGUCAACUCGGAGGAAGGUGGGGACGACGUCAAAUCAUCAUGCCCCUUAUGUCUUGGGCUUCACGCAUGCUACAAUGGCCGGUACAAAGGGUUGCGAUACUGUGAGGUGGAGCUAAUCCCAAAAAGCCGGUCUCAGUUCGGAUUGGGGUCUGCAACUCGACCCCAUGAAGUCGGAGUCGCUAGUAAUCGCAGAUCAGCAACGCUGCGGUGAAUACGUUCCCGGGCCUUGCACUCACCGCCCGUCA
rnacentral:rRNA from 1 species